rnacentral:rRNA from 1 species
GCUUACGGCCACUCCAGCCUGAAUGCUCCCGUUCUCGUCAGAUCUCGGAAGCUAAGCAGGGUCGGGCUUGGUUAGUACUUGGAUGGGAGACUUCCUGGGAAUACCAGGUGCUGUAAGCA